ensembl:lncRNA
CUCCAGAUCCACAAUGACUCUUGACCCACCCACCCACUCCUGUUCAUCACCAUUGAAAGGCAUCGGCAGAACAUUCAGCAGGCAUGCGCCUACGUCAGCUGCUGCUAUCGUCCUGGAAAGGGACAUGCUCCAGUCUGCCAGGGCAUGCCCCUCUCAUGCCCACGUCAAAUCCUGGUCUGGGUGAGACCCACCCCUGAAUCUGGGUGCCAUAUGGGUGAGUCACCAUUGGUUUUGCCUCCAGUUCUGUCAAUAACAGAGUCGGACUGCUUGAGCUGUAGUGUACGACUAGAAAUGACCUGAUCCUCUGAGCUGGCCCUGCAGCCAACCUCCUGGGCCACUAUCUCCUGUCCAUGAGACUCUGGCAAGUGCCAUCAAAGACCUGACAUCCUCGAAGUAAGAACUGGGGCCUAAGGCCAAGGGGGUCAGGCAAAGCUCCUGCAAAUUGGGGUGGGUGGAGCUACGUGGAGCAGGGCUUUGUGAGGGUGGGGCUAUCUGGGUUUGAUGCUUUGGAGAAGCUGAGGGAGUGGUUGUAGGGGUGUGGCUUCACACCGGGAAUCUGAACUGAGGGCUUUGACCUGAUAUUGAAGGGCCUGACACAAGGUCAGAACCAGAGGUAAGACAGCUGGGUGCUUCCUCCUGUCCCUGGAGGGUCCAGCCUGGGGCACUGGAAUUGGCCAACUUCCUGAUGGUGCUGGUUAUGCCGCAGCCUGGGGACACUCCAGAGUCAGCACCUUGCCUUACUCUAGAGUGGCUUCUGUGGCCCAGCUUUCUCUGUCCCCAGCACUUCUGGUUGCCACACUCUCAUUCAUUCAUUCAUUCAUUCAUUCAUCAAACACCCAUUGGUGUACAUGAAUACUGGGAACACAGCAACAAGGUCAACUUAGUCCUGCUCUGGAUUCUUCCUCUCUGGGGAGAAAGGGCAUAAGCCAGAGAGCCUCGGCUAUAGGAAGGGACCUAUCAGGGAGACCAGCAUGGCCUCAGGCUGGGAGAUGUGGGGGGUGCCCUGCCACAGUCAGACAGACCAGGAUCCAGUGAUGCUCUCAGGAUCUACGUGGUGUUGGACCCCAAGGCUCCUGGAUGCACAUACCUUGCUGAGUACUGUCCUUGGCCUGGUACCUCCAGCACCACUGGUCCUCAACCUAGGAAGCUCCAGAGACUUUCUGCAGGGCUGUCUGAGGCCCAGUCCCCAAGAAAGGAGUGGCUGCUGCACUGAUCCUCUGAGGUGGUUCAGGGCCCUCAGCCAGCAAGAUGCCAAGCUUGUUGGGUGGAGUCUCAGAUACACCCCCGCCUGGUUCAUUGUUUCAGUGCCCCCAGGACAAGCCGCAUAGAAAUAGCAAAUGUGCUUCAGCCUCUAGGGCUUCAGAGCCCUCAGGAUGCCAGUGUUGGGGAGACCAUCAUCACCCCAGCUCCUCAUCUUUCAGUAUCAGUCGAGGAGAUGUCAUAUCUUGUCUAAGAUGGCAGUGCAGAUGGAAGGCUACUCCGUUAGGGUGAACUGAUAGAAAUGAAAUAUGUAUGUAUGUAUGUAUGUGCCUGUGUGCAUGCGUGUGUUUAUGUCAAUAACAGCUCUGUUUUUUCAAAUAAAAGAUUUGCUUUUAUGUAUAUGUGUAAAUGGAUAUUUCUUUCCUGUCUGCCAGUUCCCAAAUUACUGACUCAGAGGCUGAAUAUAAAUUAUAAAUACUUGGUUAAUAACUCAGUGUUAUGAUACGGUGCUAGAGGAACCUUGGCGGGUUGGGUCCAAACCAUGAGGAUAAGCGACAAACAUGCCAUGCAGAUAGAGCUUACAUGGGGAGUUUAUUGGGGGAAGGGAAGAGAGAGAGAGGAGAGAGAAAGGGAAGGCAGAGCAGUCUUUUGGGAAGAGAGAGAGAGAAAGGGAGAGAGACAGAAGUGAAGAGAGGCAGAGAGCUAGAGAGAGAGAAGAGAAAGGGAGAAAGAGAGAGCUGCAGACAGGCAGUCUGAGAAAGAGAGAGAGAGAGAGAGAGAGAGGUGGGGGAGAAAGAGGAAGAGGAAGAAGGGGGAGUAGGGAAUUCUGCCCUUUAAAGGAAUAGGGAGCAGCGCAUAUACACAGCGACCUCAUAGCAGGCCAAGGUACUGCCUGCCACUCAC